GCGCUGAACCGCAAGGAUUUCACGCCCACAGAACAUACUCGGGUAUGUUCGGCCCAUUUCGUGGCUGGAGAGAAGACGGACGAAAAUAUCGUCCCGCAGCUCUCUCUCGGGUAUGCGCGUAAGGUUGUCGUUGGGAG